GCGUCCAUAGCUCAGUUGGAUAGAGUGUUCGGCUACGAACCGAAAGGUCGGGGGUUCGAAUCCCUCUGGGCGCACCA
rnacentral:tRNA from 2 species